GAAAAAAAAGUCUUCAGUUCAUGAAUUUUAUUAAAAUGAAGUAUGAUGACACUAAGUUGAUUUUAAAGAAAAUAUCACAAUGAUUUUAAGCAAAAUCAAUUAUUUCUUCAUGCAAAGUAUUUCAGGCAACUCUUCCACUUAAUCCCAUCAUGAAAGAUUCAAUUUAUAAUGUUUUUUAAAAUUUAUAAACAUUCUUUUAAAAAUACACCCUCUAACAACAUUAUUUAUACAAACAGUUGUGAUCUCAUUUCUUUUGAUAAAACAAAAUUUCUAGAUUGUGCAUAAUGAAGCAAAUGAAUUUCAUACAUUUGUGAAGAAAAAUAAUAGAAAGUAAAAAAGCAAAAAAUGUCAGUAAAAAGUAUCAUUCCUAGGAUUGAAUAUAUAUAUAUAUUUCAAAAAAUCUGAGCAUAAAAAAAAAAAAAUUCACAGGGAGGAAAAAAUUCUAAUCAAAACUAUUUCAACUAAAGUCCAUGAAGACAUAUAUACAAAAAACUUAAGUGUUACAUAAAAACAAAAUUAAGGUAGAAGUCCUACUACUAUGUGAUAUAGCCUUUUCACUGAGCAAAGUUUCCUAGACUGAUAUGGGACAAUCAAGUCUUUAGAAAAUUAUGAGAUACCACAUGGUAGAAAAAAAAGAGAAAUGAGUAUAUCAGGCAAGAGGUGUCAAAUAUGGCCAGCAUCACUCCUGGCAACCUUUGAAAGUGGUUGAAUCAGAUGAAAUUAUGAGAAGAAAUUGAAGAAAUAUAAAAUAAAACAUAGAUAAUAGUAAUUUGCCGUAUCCUAAGUCAUGUCACAGGAAUCUUUACAUAUGUUUUUCUAUCCUCCAUUAGUGCUGGGUUUGCACUCAAGACCCGAGUUCAAAUGUAACCCCAGACACUUAGCAGUUACAUGACUCUGGGCAAAUCACUUCACCCCUGUUUGCUUCAGUUUUCUCAGCUCUAAAAUGGGAAUAAAAGCACCUACCUCAUAAGGUUGUUGUGAGGAUCCAAUGAGAUAUUAGAAAUGAGAUACCUUAAAGCACUUAGAAUAAUCCCUGACAUAUAUAGUAAGUCCCUAUAUGCUUAUUCUUUUCUCUUCCUUUCUCCUGCUUCUUCUAUUUAAUAGAUAAACAAUCCAAAACUGACUGAAGAAAUGAAGGAAAGCAGUUUUUACAAUUUCUGACUAAUUCAAUACAUUAAAACAUUCCACAUUGGAGUGAGAAACUUUAAACAUGUAAGUAAAUAAUAAGUACUAAGAAGAAUACACACAAAUGGUGACCUCCAUUAAGAAAGAAUACAUUUAGAUUUUGGAACAUGAAACCAAAAUAGUUAAAAUAUAUUAAUAUUAAAUAUUAUAAUUAUCAAAUAUUAAUUUGUUAUUUAAAUUAAUAUUAACAAUUUAAAAUAAAAAUUAAUUUUUCCAAGAAUUUUUAAAAUUAUAAUAAAAGGGAGGGGAAAAGAAAUUCUGAUCAUAUCACAAUCAUGCUAAAAAUUUUCAGUGUUUCCCUAACCUAUUCAUUUCACUAUCCCCUCUGUACUCUGCCAAUGUGGGACCCAUUCUGCAAUUUCCUUUCUUGCUGAACCUGCAGAGUCUGGCAAAUUCCUGUCUUUAUAUCACCAUUCUGGGCAACAAGCAUCGAUCUCAACCUCUGCCUUGCCACUUUGCAAAAAGAAUAAUGUACUGGAUAAUAAACUCAACUACAAAAGUAAAUAAGAAAGGGAACUUGCAGGAUUGUGGGAUUGUUUCAGGUCUGAAGACAAGGAGACAGACAACCCAGAAUCACUUGGGGCUAUAACUGAAGCAAGUGAAGAGUAAAUCCCCCAACUUGGGAGGAAGUUGAAACAGAUCAUAAGUCUGGUUCCUGGGGAGAAAGUCAGCAUCUCAGGGAAAGAAAUCAGAAGGAAAGAGAUAGGGAACUAUAACGAAAAAGAAAAGACUAAAACCACUAAUGACUUAAGGGGGAAAAUGUAAAAGCUUAGCACACAAAUUGACAGGAAAGAUAGCUAUAUCAGAAAGAGAGAUAGCUACCAAGAAUUGCAAACUUCUCUUAAGUAAAUAUUGCAAAAGAAAGAAAAUGGAUGAAUACUUGAAAAAAAUCAGAACUAAGUGGAUUUCCAGGGAACCAUAGCAGGAUUUUGCCAAAUGGUUGGAGAGAAAUCAAAAGUUUUAAAUGAAGUUAAAAGGGAACAAACCAAGAAUCUGUAAACUUGUAUAGCAAAAAUAAUUAUCAGAAUUAAAAAAAAAAUUCAAUCUGGGAUACUAUCUCCAAUGAAAGGACAACUGAUUGAGAAUAAAUAUUGACAUGAAGGACAAUCUGAAAGAAAAAAAAUAAGAAGCAAUAAUAAUACUUAAAACAUACCCAAACACACACACACACACCCCCCACACCCAAACACAUUGAUACUGAA